AUCGAACGCUGGCGGAAUGCUUUACACAUGCAAGUCGAGCGGCAGCGCGGGGGCAACCCUGGCGGCGAGCGGCGAACGGGUGAGUAAUGCAUCGGAACGUACCCAUUUGUGGGGGAUAACUAUCCGAAAGGAUAGCUAAUACCGCAUACGUCCUGAGGGAGAAAGCGGGGGAUCGCAAGACCUCGCGCAAAUGGAGCGGCCGAUGCCGGAUUAGCUAGUUGGUGGGGUAAAGGCUAACCAAGGCGACGAUCCCUAGCUGGUCUGAGAGGAUGAUCAGCCACACUGGAACUGAGACACGGUCCAGACUCCUACGGGAGGCAGCAGUGGGGAAUAUUGCACAAUGGGGGAAACCCUGAUGCAGCCAUGCCGCGUGUGUGAAGAAGGCCUUCGGGUUGUAAAGCACUUUCAGCGAGGAGGAAAGGUUGUUGGCUAAUAUCCAACAGCUGUGACGUUACUCGCAGAAGAAGCACCGGCUAACUCCGUGCCAGCCGCCGCCGUAAGAC
rnacentral:rRNA from 1 species